rnacentral:rRNA from 1 species
UACGAAGGGGGCUAGCGUUGCUCGGAAUCACUGGGCGUAAAGCGCACGUAGGCGGAUUGCUAAGUCAGGGGUGAAAUCCUGGAGCUCAACUCCAGAACUGCCCUUGAUACUGGCGGUCUCGAGUCCGGGAGAGGUGAGUGGAACUGCGAGUGUAGAGGUGAAAUUCGUAGAUAUUCGCAAGAACACCAGUGGCGAAGGCGGCUCACUGGCCCGGUACUGACGCUGAGGUG